UACGUAGGGUGCAAGCGUUGUCCGGAAUUAUUGGGCGUAAAGAGCUCGUAGGCGGUGUGUCGCGUCGGCCGUGAAAACCUGCAGCUUAACUGUGGGCUUGCGGUCGAUACGGGCAUCACUGGAGUUCGGCAGGGGAGACUGGAAUUCCUGGCGUAGCGGUGAAAUGCGCAGAUAUCAGGAGGAACACCGGUGGCGAAGGCGGGUCUCUGGGCCGAUACUGACGCUGAGGAGCGAAAGCGUGGGGAGCGAACAGG
rnacentral:rRNA from 1 species